GCGGAGGAAAAGAAACUAACAAGGAUUCCCUCAGUAACGGCGAGUGAAGCGGGAAGAGCUCAAAUUUAAAAUCUGGUUUGCUUGCAAGCCCGAGUUGUAGUCUGAAGAAACGUUUUCCAUAAGCACUGAGRCAAAAGUCCCUUGGAACAGGGCAUCAUAGAGGGUGAGAAUCCCGUCCAUGGUCUCAAGUUGUUUAUUUUGUGAUACGUUUUCAAAGAGUCAGGUUGUUUGGGAAUGCAGCCUAAAAUGGGUGGUAAAUUUCAUCUAAAGCUAAAUAUUGGCGAGAGACCGAUAGCGAACAAGUACCGUGAGGGAAAGAUGAAAAGAACUUUGAAAAGAGAGUUAAACAGUACGUGAAAUUGUUGAAAGGGAACCGUUUGAAGCCAGUCUUACUUGCCUGUGAUCAAUUUUUGCUUCGGCAUGAAUGCACUCUCGGGUAUGGUAGGCCAACGACAGUUUGGAAUGCGAGAAAAAAAUAGAGGAAAUGUGGCCUUCGGGUGUUAUAGUCCUUUAUAAAAUAUCGUGUUCUGGACUGAGGAUCGCAGCAAAAACGUGGGCAGGUGGAUUUCUGUGGUAACUGUCGGUUAGGACAACUUGUUGACCUAGUCUUCCUUAGCCUCACUAUUUACCUUGCUUCUAAUUUGCAUAGGUCGGUGGCAUAAUGGCUUUAAAUGAC
rnacentral:rRNA from 1 species